rnacentral:tRNA from 1 species
UCACUGGUGGUCUAGCGGCUAAGCCUCUGCACUCCCAAUGCAGGGGGCCCAGGUUCGAUCCCUGGUCAGGGAA